UGGGGAAUUGUUCGCAAUGGGCGCAAGCCUGACGACGCAACGCCGCGUGGAGGAUGAAGAUCUUCGGGUCGUAAACUCCUUUCGAUCGAGACGAAUAGCUUCCGGGUAAACAAUCCGGAGGUUUGACGGUACCGAGAGAAGAAGCCCAGGCUAACUCCGUGCCAGCAGCCGCGGUAAUACGGGGGGGGCAAGCGUUGUUCGGAAUUACUGGGCGUAAAGGGCUCGUAGGCGGCCAACUAAGUCAGACGUGAAAUCCCUCGGCUUAACCGGGGAACUGCGUCUGAUACUGGAUGGCUUGAGUUUGGGAGAGGGAUGCGGAAUUCCAGGUGUAGCGGUGAAAUGCGUAGAUAUCUGGAGGAGCACCGGUGGCGAAGGCGGUAUCCUGGACCAACACUGACGCUGAGUGAGCGAAAGCCAGGGGAGCAAAC
rnacentral:rRNA from 1 species